rnacentral:rRNA from 1 species
UACGGAGGAUGCAAGCGUUAUCCGGAAUGAUUGGGCGUAAAGCGUCCGCAGGUGGCUGUGUAAGUCUGCUGUUAAAGAGUGAGGCUCAACCUCAUAAAAGCAGUGGAAACUACACAGCUAGAGUGCGUUCGGGGCAGAGGGAAUUCCUGGUGUAGCGGUGAAAUGCGUAGAGAUCAGGAAGAACAUCGGUGGCGAAAGCGCUCUACUGGACGGUGACUGACACUCAGGGACGAAAGCUAGGGGAGCGAAUGGG